rnacentral:rRNA from 1 species
CCACGGGACACGUGAAACCCUGUGGGAAGCAGGAGGGACCACCCUCCAAGGCUAAAUACUACCUAGUGACCGAUAGCGUAUAGUACCGUGAGGGAAAGGGGAAAAGAACCCCGGGAGGGGAGUGAAAUAGAACCUGAAACCCUGCACUUACAAGCUGUGGAAGCACAUUUCUUGUGUGACCGCGUACUUUUUGUAGAACGG